rnacentral:rRNA from 1 species
GUGGAUUAGAUACCCUGGUAGUCCACGCCCUAAACGAUGCACACUAGUUGUUGUGAGGCUAGACCUUGCAGUAAUGCAGUUAACACAUUAAGUGUGCCGCCUGGGGAGUACGGUCGCAAGAUUAAAACUCAAAGGAAUAGACGGGGACCCGCACAAGCGGUGGAGCAUGUGGUUUAAUUCGACGAUACACGAAGAACCUUACCUGGACUUGACAUAGUAAGAACUUUCUAGAGAUAGAUUGGUGUCUGCUUGCAGAAACUUAUAUACAGGUGCUGCACGGCCGUCGUCAGCU